AUUGAACGCUGGCGGCAUGCCUAACACAUGCAAGUCGAACGGCAGCAUGGUCUAGCUUGCUAGACUGAUGGCGAGUGGCGAACGGGUGAGUAACGCGUAGGAAUAUGCCUUAAAGAGGGGGAUAACUUGGGGAAACUCAAGCUAAUACCGCGUAAUCUCUGAGGAGAAAAGCUGGGGACCUUAUGGCCUGGCGCUUUAAGAAUAGCCUGCGUACGAUUAGCUAGUUGGUGGGGUAAGGGCUUACCAAGGCGACGAUCGUUAGCUGGUCUGAGAGGAUGGCCAGCCACACUGGGACUGAGACACGGCCCAGACUCCUACGGGAGGCAG
rnacentral:rRNA from 1 species